rfam:Pseudogymnoascus pannorum VKM F-4517 (FW-2822) contig_4255, whole genome shotgun sequence.
UGACCUCGGAUCAGGUAGGGAUACCCGCUGAACUUAAGCAUAUCAAUAAGCGGAGGAAAAGAAACCAACAGGGAUUACCUCAGUAACGGCGAGUGAAGCGGUAACAGCUCAAAUUUGAAAUCUGGCCUCACGGUCCGAGUUGUAAUUUGUAGAGGAUGCUUCGAGCAUGGUCUGGCCUAAGUUCCUUGGAACAGGACGUCAUAGAGGGUGAGAAUCCCGUAUGCGGCCAGGUGCCUACGCUCAUGUGAAGCUCCUUCGACGAGUCGAGUUGUUUGGGAAUGCAGCUCAAAAUGGGUGGUAAAUUUCAUCUAAAGCUAAAUAUUGGCCAGAGACCGAUAGCGCACAAGUAGAGUGAUCGAAAGAUGAAAAGCACUUUGGAAAGAGAGUUAAACAGUACGUGAAAUUGUUGAAAGGGAAGCGCUUGCAACCAGACUUGCGCGCGGCCGAUCAUCCGGUGUUCUCACCGGUGCACUCGGCCGU